rnacentral:rRNA from 1 species
AGGUAAAUUUCUUCUAAAGCUAAAUAUUGGCCAGAGACCGAUAGGAACAAGUAGAGUGAUCGAAAGAUGAAAAGCACUUUGGAAAGAGAGUCAAACAGCACGUGAAAUUGUUGAAAGGGAAGCGCUUGCAGCCAGACUUGCUUGCAGUUGCUCAUCCGGGCUUUUGCCCGGUGCACUCUUCUGCAGGCAGGCCAGCAUCAGUUUGGGCGGUGGGAUAAAGGUCUCUGACACGUUCCUUCCUUCGGGUUGGCCAUAUAGGGGAGACGUCAUACCACCAGCCGGGACUGAGGUCCGCGCAUCUGCUAGGAUGCUGGCGUAAUGGCUG